rnacentral:rRNA from 1 species
CUACGUGCCAGCAGCCGCGGUAAUACGUAUGUCACAAGCGUUAUCCGGAUUUAUUGGGCGUAAAGCGCGUCUAGGUGGUUAUGUAAGUCUGAUGUGAAAAUGCAGGGCUCAACUCUGUAUUGCGUUGGAAACUGUGUAACUAGAGUACUGGAGAGGUAAGCGGAACUACAAGUGUAGAGGUGAAAUUCGUAGAUAUUUGUAGGAAUGCCGAUGGGGAAGCCAGCUUACUGGACAGAUACUGACGCUGAAGCGCGAAAGCGUGGGUAGCAAACAGGAUUAGAUACCCUGGUAGUCCACGCCGUAAACGAUGAUUACUAGGUGUUGGGGGUCGAACCUCAGCGCCCAAGCUAACGCGAUAAGUAAUCCGCCUGGGGAGUACGUACGCAAGUAUGAAACUCAAAGGAAUUGACGGGGACCCGCACAAGCGGUGGAGCAUGUGGUUUAAUUCGACGCAACGCGAGGAACCUUACCAGCGUUUGACAUC